UAUGGAAAUGACAGUUCUCUUAACGCUUAAUGCGACAUUGUGAAUAAUAUUGUGUCCGGUAUCAUUGAACAUCCAAGACGGUGGAGCGAUUAGUUUUUCCAAUCACGGACGACACAAUUGUUCAUCGGGUACAUAUAUAUAUAAGAAUCAGGAUUAGAUCGAACAUUACAGUCACAGGUGCUGACAACAAUCCUACCUAGUUUGUCUAGACUCGGUUUUGUUGUUUCGACGUCACGGAUUUAUUACAAAAGUCAACAUGUUCAAGCUGAUGUUGCUCCUCAUCGCCGCAGCAAUGCUCUUUGCAGCACCAACUUAUGCUAAACCUCAGGUUCUGCUCGACUACGGAUACUACGCGCCUGCCUACGUCGCGGGCUACAGCGCUCCCUAUGCCUAUUCGUACCCCUAUGCCUACGCUUAUUCCUAUCCGUUAGUCUACUAUUAAUUUAGAGUAUUGUAUAUAAAACACCUUUACGCAAAAGAUGUUAAUUCUGUAACACAGGGGCUAUUUAUAUUUGUAACUGUUGAAGUUUUAAAAUAACUUUAUGUAAGCGAGGUGAAAAGAUAUACCUAUGUAAUUUCUUGUGGCUAUUGUAAGUGGUAUAAGCUUUAUAAAAAGUAAAGUAUACAAUGUCGUAAGAAAAUUUAUUGUGUAUGUGUUUUAUUAAGUCAUUAAUAAAAAUAUUAAUUAAA